rnacentral:rRNA from 1 species
CAGUCGUACCUUCGGGUAAUCAGCCUUUCGAGUGCGAUUCUGUGGAGUGUGAGGAGCUAAACACCUUCAUGCCUGCAUAUUCGUGCUCUUGGGUGUACUUGCUCGUGUGGUUGGUUAACAUCAAUUUCGGACGCCAUAAAAUGGCUGGAGGAAUGUAGCUUCGAUCUCGUAUCGAAGUGUUAUAGACUCUGGUAGAUGUGACGGUUGGGAUUGGAGGUAUUGCAACGGAUACCCGUUCGGGGCUACCCGUCUG